GACGAACGCUGGCGGCGUGCUUAACACAUGCAAGUCGAACGGAAAGGCCCUGCUUUUGUGGGGUGCUCGAGUGGCGAACGGGUGAGUAACACGUGAGUAACCUGCCCUUGACUUUGGGAUAACUUCAGGAAACUGGGGCUAAUACCGGAUAGGAGCUCCUGCUGCAUGGUGGGGGUUGGAAAGUUUCGGCGGUUCGGGAUGGACUCGCGGCUUAUCAGCUUGUUGGUGGGGUAGUGGCUUACCAAGGCUUUGACGGGUAGCCGGCCUGAGAGGGUGACCGGCCACAUUGGGACUGAGAUACGGACCAGACUCCUACGGGAGGCAGCAGUGGAGAAUAUUGCACAAUGGGCGGAAGCCUGAUGCAGCAACGCCGCGUGCGGGAUGACGGCCUUCGGGUUGUAAACCGCUUUCGCCUGUGACGAAGCGUGAGUGACGGUAAUGGGUAAAGAAGCACCGGCUAACUACGUG
rnacentral:rRNA from 1 species